AGCUGUUUGCUCAGCCGGGGUUUAAUCUCCAAAACAGGAAGGCUGCAGAGACAACUGUACUGAGCCUGCCAGGUUCAACCCCGGCCUCCUCUUGCCUAGCCUCCAGUGCCCCCUCCUCCCAUAGCCCUGAGGCUGGCCUCAAGGCAGCCUUCUGUGACCUCUGCCCUGGCCCUCAUUGCCUCUGCUGCACCCCAGGCCUAAGGGUGGCACUUCAGGGAGAGGAGGACUCAGCCCUCUCCUGAUCCCGAGCAUCUGCUGAAUGGCUGCUUCCCUGGGACUCCUGAGCGUCCAGUGGACAUAUUCCCUGAGGGCUCAUUACCCUAAGGAACAGCAGUCUGGGCCCUGGACAGACAGGGUCUGCUUUGAAGCCCGGCCUGGUGACCCCUCCAGACACAAGGGAGGGCCUGGGGACAAGCCAUGCUGAGGCCUUCCGAGGCAGUGGCUCGCUAGUAGGUCACAGGGGAGUCCUCAGGGUCACUCUGGCUUGUCCUGGGCAACCAUCAAACCCUCUCCUUCCUGAAACUGGAAUGUGAUGGAGAUGCUGGACCCACGUGCAAUGGUGGAGAUAGAAGGGGGACAAGGCACAGCCAGUCUUGCCGCUGGGACUCUCCUGAAAACGGAAUUCUACGCAGGAUCAGCAGGAUCCAAUAAAAGGGGUGUCAUGAGGGCACCUCAAGGAGGUAA